GCCUCGGUAGCUCAGCCUGGUUAGAGCGACUCCUUGGUAAGGAGUAGGUCGUGGGUUCGAAUCCCAUCCGGGGCU
rnacentral:tRNA from 1 species